rnacentral:rRNA from 1 species
UACGUAGGGCGCAAGCGUUGUCCGGAAUUAUUGGGCGUAAAGAGCUCGUAGGCGGUUUGUCGCGUCUGCUGUGAAAACCUGAGGCUCAACCUCGGGCUUGCAGUGGGUACGGGCAGACUAGAGUGCGGUAGGGGUGACUGGAAUUCCUGGUGUAGCGGUGGAAUGCGCAGAUAUCAGGAGGAACACCGAUGGCGAAGGCAGGUCACUGGGCCGCAACUGACGCUGAGGAGCGGAAAGCAUGGGG